GAUGAACGCUGGCGGCGUGCCUAAUACAUGCAAGUCGAGCGAACGGACGAGAAGCUUGCUUUUCUGAUGUUAGCGGCGGACGGGUGAGUAACACGUGGAUAACCUACCUAUAAGACUGGGAUAACUUCGGGAAACCGGAGCUAAUACCGGAUAAUAUUUUGAACCGCAUGGUUCAAAAGUGAAAGACGGUCUUGCUGUCACUUAUAGAUGGAUCCGCGCUGCAUUAGCUAGUUGGUAAGGUAACGGCUUACCGAGGCAACGAUGCAUAGCCGACCUGAGAGGGUGAUCGGCCACACUGGAACUGAGACACGGUCCAGACUCCUACGGGAGGCAGCAGUAGGGAAUCUUCCGCAAUGGGCGAAAGCCUGACGGAGCAACGCCGCGUGAGUGAUGAAGGUCUUCGGAUCGUAAAACUCUGUUAUUAGGGAAGAACAUAUGUGUAAGUAACUGUGCACAUCUUGACGGUACCUAAUCAGAAAGCCACGGCUAACUACGU
rnacentral:rRNA from 1 species